AUUUGAAGAAAAAAAUAGACUUGUAUAACCUCAAUAAUAUGGUUUGAGGGUUUCUACCAGGAUCCGAUAAAUCCUGAUUACAAAAGCGUGCUUUCCUUUU
rfam:Bacillus pumilus SAFR-032, complete genome.